rnacentral:rRNA from 1 species
AGUGAACGCUGGCGGUAGGCCUAACACAUGCAAGUCGAACGGCAUCACAGUAGGAGCUUGCUCUUACGGGUGGCGAGUGGCGGACGGGUGAGGAAUACAUCGGAAUCUACUUUUUCGUGGGGGAUAACGUAGGGAAACUUACGCUAAUACCGCAUACGACCUACGGGUGAAAGCAGGGGAUCUUCGGACCUUGCGCGAUUGAAUGAGCCGAUGUCGGAUUAGCUAGUUGGCGGGGUAAAGGCCCACCAAGGCGACGAUCCGUAGCUGGUCUGAGAGGAUGAUCAGCCACACUGGAACUGAGACACGGUCCAGACUCCUACGGGAGGCAGCAGUGGGGAAUAUUGGACAAUGGGCGCAAGCCUGAUCCAGCCAUACCGCGUGGGUGAAGAAGGCCUUCGGGUUGUAAAGCCCUUUUGUUGGGAAAGAAAAGCAGCAGGUUAAUACCCCGCUGUUCUGACGGUACCCAAAGAAUAAGCACCGGCUAACUUCGUG